rnacentral:rRNA from 1 species
GAUGAACGCUAGCGGCAGGCUUAAUACAUGCAAGUCGUGGGGCAGCAGGUUUGUAGCAAUACAGAUGCUGGCGACCGGCAAACGGGUGCGGAACACGUACAGAACCUUCCUUUGAGCGGGGAAUAGCCCAGAGAAAAUUUGGAUUAAUACCCCAUAGUAUAAUGAAAGUGGCAUCACUUUAUAUUAAAGAUUUAUCACUCGAAGAUGGCUGUGCGGCUGAUUAGGUAGUUGGCGGGGUUAAAGGCCCACCAAGCCUGCGAUCAGUAACUGGUGUGAGAGCACGACCAGUCACACGGGCACUGAGACACGGGCCCGACUCCUACGGGAGGCAGCAGUAAGGAAUAUUGGUC